rnacentral:rRNA from 1 species
CCCUUAGAUGUUCUGGGCCGCACGCGCGCUACACUGACGAUGGCAACGAGUUUUUCCUUCGCCGAAAGGUGUGGGUAAUCCUUUGAAACAUCGUCGUGCUGGGGAUAGAUCAUUGCAAUUUUUGAUCUUGAACGAGGAAUUCCUAGUAAGCGCGAGUCAUCAGCUCGCGUUGAUUACGUCCCUGCCCUUUGUACACACCGCCCGUCGCUACUACCGAUUGAAUGGUUUAGUGAGGACUCCUGAUUGGCGCCGCCGCCCCGGCAACGGAGCAGCGGACUGCCGAAAAGUUGUUCAAACUUGAUCAUUUAGAGGAAGUAAAAGUCGUAACA